rnacentral:misc_RNA from 1 species
AGGUCAUUACUGAACGUUGACACGAGCUGUUGCUGGCCCUCGAAAGGGUGAAAAAAGGGCGCUCUGUUUACACAUACACUUUAACGUGCAAACACGGGGAACCCCGGGGUGGCCUCCUCUCCCGUUCCCGGUCUUGUUCAUAUCUCCAGACACAGUGGCAAACACAACGGGGGAAGCUCGCGUUAAUGUAUUUUUUUUUUUUUGUUGUGUUUUUUUUCCCCCCCAGACCGGCACA